AACGAACGCUGGCGGCAGGCUUAACACAUGCAAGUCGAGCGCCCCGCAAGGGGAGCGGCAGACGGGUGAGUAACGCGUGGGAAUCUACCCAUCUCUACGGAAUAACGCAUGGAAACGUGUGCUAAUACCGUAUACGUCCUUCGGGAGAAAGAUUUAUCGGAGAUGGAUGAGCCCGCGUUGGAUUAGCUAGUUGGUGGGGUAAAGGCCUACCAAGGCGACGAUCCAUAGCUGGUCUGAGAGGAUGAUCAGCCACACUGGGACUGAGACACGGCCCAGACUCCUACGGGAGGCAGCAGUGGUGAAUAUUGGACAAUGGGCGCAAGCCUGAUCCAGCCAUGCCGCGUGAGUGAUGAAGGCCCUAGGGUUGUAAAGCUCUUUCACCGGUGAAGAUAAUGACGGUAACCGGAGAAGAAGCCCCGGCUAACUUCAUGCCAGCCGCCGCAGUAAAAC
rnacentral:rRNA from 1 species